rnacentral:lncRNA from 1 species
UACCAUACAAGUCACGUAAGGCGAGAACAUAUUGCGGACUUUAAAGCAGGACGAAAUCAGGUUGAAAACGAUACAGGAAACGUAAGUCGAAGUAGUCAUCCCACCCACAAAAGUAGUGAUUAGACCUAGGUCUUGCCCUAAACCCAACACACUGGUCUCUAACAUCUCUAGGCAUAAAAUCAAACACCCUGAUACAAGAUCCCACAAUUUGUCUCUUGGCUAAUAUUCGAGCGUCUUCAGAAAUCCCGCAAGAUUACGCACUGCAGAAAACUCUCGAAACAGAUCACGGAUAUUGUUGGAAACGAAAUUUCCACUGUCGAUCUCCGUUGAUUUAGGAAAGAUAGGAAACCUUAAAAUUUCUCAGAGGUCCCAGAUAUCUGCUAAACCAC